CGCAGCGUCGCGCCACAUUGCUGCAAGCCAGAGAUAUCCGAGAUCCUAAACGCUAAUCGGUCUACAUAGACACUCAGCAACCAUGUCUGACAAACCCAAGCUCGAUGAGGUCAACUCAUUCGACAAGGCCAAACUGAAGAAAACCGAGACUAAGGAGAAGAACACACUCCCAUCUCAAGAAACCAUCGAACAAGAGAAGCAGGCAUCAUCGUGAACGCCCCCCCCACACCCACCCACCCAGCUGCCAUCAUGCACUGUGCACACCCCCUUUCCCACACAUUGCCUUCUUUUUGUUCACUUCUUUUAGCUGUAUAACUCUGUAACCAAAAUGUCACAAAAAAAAAACAAACAAAAGGGAAAAAAAUGCUAAAAAGAAAAACCGAAUGCUGCCAUCGACGUUGGGCGGACCUGAAAUCAAGCCCCCUUUUUCCAACCAGCGGUGAAAGAGCACUUCUAAUGCAUGGCGCAAGUCGCUUGGUUCCACCUGGCUUCCGUGGCCUCGGCUAUGGGUGAAGAGACAGAAAAGGGGCAAAGGACAAAGGGGGCGUGGCUUCAGAAUGUGGACAUUCCCAAAAAUUUUCAUUGACCAAUUGAGGUAUGGCUUUAUGUCAACGUGUGUGACCAGCUCACCAAUCGUGGCGUCUCAUUUCUUUUAAAUUUUUUUUUUUUUAAUUCAAAAAUGGCGUUUUACAGUAAAAUGCACAAUACAUGGUUUUUGUAUGUCAUCAGUGAUCAAUACCUUCUUGUUAGUGCUGCUUAAAGCGAAUGGCUUUUAAUUGACACAAACGAGGAAGAGGAAAUGAUUGAAGCCACCUAGAUGGGGAAACAUUCCUAAGGCACACAAGGGUUUUUUUGGGUUUGUUUUUUUAACUGAUUCUACCAUUUUUAUUUUUUUUAUUUUUGUACGUGUGGGCUUUUUUUGGGGUUGCUUUUUUUUGUUGCACCCAAUCUCAAUUGUCCUGUUGUACGGAAUCUGUCAAUUCUGGAAAUGAAUAAUUCAUAAUUCAUGUUGCUUUCAAGUUUUGACGAUUGAUUUUUUUUAAUUUUUUUUCCUUGGGUUUCUGUAAAACCAUGUUAUUUUGCCACAAACCCAUUCUCAAAAAUGGAAAAAGGAACGUGUUGUAAUAAAGCCUUUGUUAUCAAAA